rnacentral:rRNA from 1 species
CGGACGGGUGAGUAAUGCUUGGGAAUCUAGCUUAUGGAGGGGGAUAACUACGGGAAACUGUAGCUAAUACCGCGUAAUAUCGAAAGAUUAAAGUGUGGGACCUUCGGGCCACAUGCCAUAAGAUGAGCCCAAGUGGGAUUAGGUAGUUGGUGAGGUAAAGGCUCACCAAGCCGACGAUCUCUAGCUGGUCUGAGAGGAUGACCAGCCACGCUGGGACUGAGACACGGCCCAG